rnacentral:tRNA from 1 species
GAAGAAAUGACUGAGUGGCUAAAAGUGGUAGAUUGUAAAUCUAUUGGGAUAAACCCGUCGUAGGUUCGAAUCCUACUUUCUUCU